rnacentral:misc_RNA from 1 species
GCGCGACACAAAAGAUUGAAUGUAUAAACCUUCAAUACUGUUUACUUGCAUUCUUGCUUUAUGUACAGACAACAGUUGAUAACAUCAUACUUCCUUAAAUACUUUUAUAUACAGAGGUAGAUAAUGCACACAUAUACCCCGUGUGAUUCAUAUAGAAUCCACUUCAGACCAUUUCAACUACAUUCGAUCAAGUCAAAUGAUACAUUCGUUAAUAAUCAUACUCUUCCACAUGCACACAAGAUAAAGCCAUCUUCAAAUAUUGACAAGAACGAAGAACUGAGACUGGUUAGGCGCAUGAAUUAGAGAAUUCCUACUUUAUUCUCCUAAAGGUUGAGCCUCAGCCAAAAGCCUAACACGCUGGGUGAGACGUCGCCUGCGAUACAUGCCAACCAAUCGUAGGGCAAGAACAAGAGCAAUAGCAGCAUAAUCAAACAAUCUAACAAUCCCCAGGCCUCCUGCACAUCACCGGUGAUCAAAUCUGCCGGUUAAAAAUAAAACCAGAGAAGGAAAAGCAUGUAUUCAAGCCACAAGUAUCAGGUCAACCUAUAGACUACAGACCCAGUGUUGCAUCGCAAUUUUGGAACGAAAAAAUUAGCUAUUGCAUUUUACAGAAGUUUAAAAAAGUCUGAAACUUGUACAGGAAAAUGAUACAAAGUUAUCCAAUAUAAUGCUACAUACAGGGAUAAUCAGAUCUAUGAGUCAUAUGGGUCUCUUAAUGGCAACUAUCAUUCAUAUAAACUUGCACUGCAAUAUUGUGGAUUUGUGGUACAACUAAUAAGUCUCCCAAGAGGAACUUACCAGUUGGAAUGAAGUUAAAUGGAGUGGCAGCAUAUAAGACACUCAGUAUCAUCUGCAAGGUAAAAGACUAUUUGAGUAAUAAUAACAGUAGGUAAACCAGAGUAUGCUCAAUGACUACCACAAAAUUAAGUAGUUUGCUUCUGGGUUACCAUAUUACAGAUAUUUCUGAAGAAAAUUAUCACAAAGUUUAAUGUCAAAAAUACUUAUGACAUCACAUUGCAUCCACAGAUAUUCAUUUAUCAGUUUCUGUGCCCACUAAAUCAACUUUGUACAUAAAAUCAAAACCCUAGGUGAUUACAUUCCUAUAAAUUAGAAAACAGAUGGGAUGAGUAAGUGACUUUAACAAACCACCAGUGGACCCUGAUUGUCACCUUUCUAAACAUGCCUCUAUUUCAGAUUAAAGUCCUGUCAGGUUAGCACACUCAUAUAAGGACCCAUAACACACAUCAGCAUUUACCCAUCAUUUGACAAGGCCCUAUUGUUCUGAGAUAAAUUUAUAGACUCAAAGGAUGACACAUUCUCACAGCAGAGUUGUUGAUACAAAGGCACACAUUUUGACCAGACUGCCCACCUUGUCAAUGCAGAAUUCUGCAGAUUUCUAAUUUCUUACUUGCUACAGCAUUCCAAUAGGUUCAAGCAAAGUUGCAAACCAAUCAAAGAUCCACAACUAUACUGAGCGUCAUUCAUUUCUACAAACUUGUCAGUUAGCUCAAUCUUUUUCCCGCAUGUCUGUUCAAUCUGACACUUUGUGGAACUUAAACAUGAUAGAAGACUUCAUACUAAAAUAUUAAAAUGAUGAUCCUUUGAUCUUAUGUAAUUUUAUUAUCUAACUUUCUAUGAUGAUUUUCAAAAAUUCAGAACCCUAAAAAUGGCAUUAGAGGAAAACUGGCAAAAGUAAUAGGCAAGAAUCUACACUUAUUACCAUUUUGUUGAAAGAUGAUGAACUAGUGAACUUACAGCAAAAAGGCGCAUUUCAUGAAGGUAGGAACCAGGUCUAUCGGGAUCCAUCAUUUGUUGAAAAAUUCUCUUAAUGAAUAAUGGUGACUCUCGCACUUUCUGUCCAAAUAAUUCACCACAGAUCUUUUAGAUAAGAAUAACUAUCUGUUAAAAGAAUUUAAGAAAAAUGCCUAUAAUUUAUAAAACUGUUAAAUGGCAUGGUGAGUCUCAGAUAACAAACUCAAAUAAAUCAAGAAGAGAUUAAGUAUUUAUAUCCUUCAAGAAAAAUUUAGAAAAUUAAUAAAAGACUGAUCAACAAAUAUAAGGUAUUCAUGUAGUGUAUUGAAAAAAAGAAAAAGAAAAGAUAUUCAUCUCAUAUGUAUCCAUCCUUGCAAAAAGUCCAACAUUUCACACAAGUAAAUACACAAACUAGUACACAGUGCCCAUACAAUCCAAAAUAUUCACAACAGACCAAAAAAGUGACAUUAUUUUAAAAGAUCAAUGAAGUGCAAUUACUGGGGGAAAAAGAAAAAGAAUAGAUCACUUAGCUUGCAAAGAAGGAAAAUUACAUAUCUCCAAGCAGAUUAACAAGCGGACCUACCUGAACAAGGCCAAGCGCACCUCCAACAAAAAGGCGGUUGUACCUAUGAACAUUGUCCAAAACUUUGGUAACUUCUUGUUCGUGCUGCCUGUGUAAUGAUGCCUCUGGUGUCAACUUGGUAAUGCCAGAAGUGCACAUGGGACACUUGCAAGGCUUAGAUGCGGCAGAAUAAUUCCAAUAUUGCAGAAUGCAACUGCCGCAAAACCAGUGGCCGCAAUUGGCUUUGCAAGGAACAGUGAAGGCACCGAAACAGAUGGGGCAACAAUCAUCGAGAGGAGGGCCGCCGAUACGAUCAUCAUCCCUAGGGUUUAUCUGGAUCUCCGCCUCUCUCUCUCCAGCACCACCUGCUUCAUCGAUUACACCACUCACAUCUCCCUCAGAAACGAGGGCGUUAGAUUUGCGCAUUGUCACGGUUCUCAUCGUUUCCCUCAUUCCAUGCGAGAAACGCGAUCUCCAUCGUUCCAUUUUCAGUUCUCGAACGCCCGAGCAGUGAGAAAUGGAUUCAAGCCUAAUGUUUCGGUCGAAUUUGGAGAGAGUCGGACCGAAGCUAA